UACGGGGGGGGCAAGCGUUGUUCGGAAUUACUGGGCGUAAAGGGCUCGUAGGUGGCCAACUAAGUCAGACGUGAAAUCCCUCGGCUUAACCGGGGAACUGCGUCUGAUACUGGAUGGCUUGAGUUUGGGAGAGGGACGCGGAAUUCCAGGUGUAGCGGUGAAAUGCGUAGAUAUCUGGAGGAAUACCGGUGGCGAAGGCGGCAUCCUGGACCGACAUUGACGCUGAGGAGCGAAAGCUAGGGGAGCAACGGG
rnacentral:rRNA from 1 species